AUUGAACGCUGGCGGCAUGCCUUACACAUGCAAGUCGAACGGUAACGCGGGGCAACCUGGCGACGAGUGGCGAACGGGUGAGUAAUAUAUCGGAACGUGCCCAAUAGUGGGGGAUAGCCCGGCGAAAGCCGGAUUAAUACCGCAUACGACCUGAGGGUGAAAGCGGGGGAUCGCAAGACCUCGCGCUAUUGGAGCGGCCGAUAUCAGAUUAGGUAGUUGGUGGGGUAAAGGCCUACCAAGCCUACGAUCUGUAGCUGGUCUGAGAGGACGACCAGCCACACUGGGACUGAGACACGGCCCAGACUCCUACGGGAGGCAGCAGUGGGGAAUUUUGGACAAUGGGCGCAAGCCUGAUCCAGCCAUGCCGCGUGCGGGAAGAAGGCCUUCGGGUUGUAAACCGCUUUUGUCAGGGAAGAAAUCUUCUGGGUUAAUACCUCGGGAGGAUGACGGUACCUGAAGAAUAAGCACCGGCUAACUACGUG
rnacentral:rRNA from 1 species